AGCCACUGAUGACAAAGCAAUGACUUUUCUGACACCUCGUAUGAGAGCAAAGCUCCUGUGAUUCUAAUUCUGAUCUGAGGCUC